rnacentral:rRNA from 1 species
GUGGGGAAUAUUGGGCAAUGGGGGAAACCCUGACGCAGCGACGCCGUGUGAGGGAAGAAGGCUUUCGGGUCGUAAACCUCUGUCAGAAAGGAAGAACCUCCCAAGUCCGAAUAGGGCUUGGGACUGACGGUACUUUCAAAGGAAGCACCGGCUAACUCCGUGCCAGCAGCCGCGGUAAUACGGAGGGUGCAAGCGUUAAUCGGAAUCACUGGGCGUAAAGCGCGCGUAGGCCGCUUUGUAAGUCGGACGUGAAAGCCCUCGGCUCAACCGGGGAACUGCGGUGGAGACUGCGAGGCUUGAGUCCUGGAGAGGGUGGCGGAAUUCCGGGUGUAGGAGUGAAAUCCGUAGAUAUCCGGAGGAACACCGGUGGCGAAGGCGGCCACCUGGACAGGUACUGACGCUGAGGCGCGAAAGCGUGGGGAGCAAACAGGAUUAGAAACCCUAGUAGUCC